AAAACCGUACGUGGUCUCUAUGCAAUCUCCGCCUCCCUCAUCUCUCUCUUUAUUCCUCAAAGCCUUACAAGCCAAUUUCAAGCUAUUUGCUCCAUUUGUCUCUGUUCGCUAGCUGAACUUAGAGAGGAGGAAAGUUUGCUAUUGACGGAAAGGAUAAAUUUGAAAAAUGAACUGCCAGCUUUGUGUCUCACUCUUGAGAAACAAAGAGCUACAAAUGACAGUUUGAAGAGAAUUAAGCAACCCCAUGUGUAUGAAGCCAAGUUUAAUGUUGGAGCUUGAAGAAGUGCUUACAUGCAGGAUUACUGAAAAGAAACUUUUUUUUGACAACUAAGCAUUCUGCCCAGCAAUGGAUUGCUGUAAUCUGUUUCACGACUAAGCAUUUUGUUGUAAUGUAAAGCUUUAGAUAUCUUGCCAUAGUUUUUCAUUUCCGGCUCUUUAGUGCUUGUGUUGGUUUGUAUGCAUUUGUUUUGCUCUCUCAAAGUUCUGACACUGUUUGGAGAGUUCACAACAGAAUGAAAUGAAUUAGAGUGGAUAGGUUAUAAAUGAAUGGAAUGUGGAGGACUAUAUUAUUUUCUUUUGUUUGGUGUGUUUUGGAGUUGCAUAAGAGAAGGAAUGGAAAGAAGAGAUAUCAUACUUGCACCUCAGAUGGUUCAGUGAAGA